UGGCUCAGUGGUUAAGAGCACUGGCUGCUUGCUCUUCCAGAGGCCCUGGGUUCAAUUCCCAG
rnacentral:tRNA from 1 species